ensembl:snoRNA small nucleolar RNA, C/D box 53
CUGCUGUGAUGACUUCCAUUUGGUUUCGCUUGUGACUGAGUUUCAGAGCUGAUGCUUCUCUCUUGGCUGUCUGAGUGG